GUAGGUGGCAAGCGUUGUCCGGAAUUAUUGGGCGUAAAGCGCGCGCAGGCGGUUCGUUUAAGUCUGAUGUGAAAGCCCACGGGCUCAACCGUGGAGGGUCAUUGGAAACUGGAGAACUUGAGUACAGAAGAGGAAAGCGGAAUUCCACGUGUAGCGGUGAAAUGCGUAGAGAUGUGGAGGAACACCAGUGGCGAAGGCGGCUUUCUGGUCUGUAACUGACGCUGAGGCGCGAAAGCGUGGGGAGCAAACAGGAUUAGAUACCCUGGUAGUCCACGCCGUAAACGAUGAGUGCUAAGUGUUAGGGGGGUUUCCGCCCCCUUAGUGCUGCAGCUAACGCAUUAAGCACUCCGCCUGGGGAGUACGGCCGCAAGGCUGA
rnacentral:rRNA from 1 species